GAGAAUAAUAGAAACUAACCAGGAUUCCCAUAGUAACGGCGAGUGAACUGGGAUACCAACACACCAAUAUGCACUCUGUGCAUAAUUUAGCCCGUCGAUACUAUCCUAGCAUAUCACCGGUCUCGGCCGGUAACCCAAUAUGCGGGAAUUGUAGCAUCGUAAUAAAAAAUAUAUAUAUGCUGUGCACACACACACACACACACGCCCUGUGCCAUGCGUACGUGACCUUGUAAACACACAGCGUCUCCGCGUUGGAAAGCAAGUAUAUAUCCUCUUUGGAUAUGCCAUAGAGUGUGACAGCCACGUUUGACUCACUCCACACGUUACGCGCACACACACCCAUUGCACACACACAUUAUAUAUAUUUCUAUAACCUGAGUCGAGUUAUUU
rnacentral:rRNA from 1 species